AUCGUUUAUUUGAUAGUUCCUUUACUACAUGGUAUAACUGUGGUAAUUCUAGAGCUAAUACAUGCUUAAAAUCUCGACCCUUUGGAAGAGAUGUAUUUAUUAGAUAAAAAAUCAAUGUCUUCGGACUCUUUGAUGAUUCAUAAUAACUUUUCGAAUCGCAUGGCCUUGUGCUGGCGAUGGUUCAUUCAAAUUUCUGCCCUAUCAACUUUCGAUGGUAGGAUAGUGGCCUACCAUGGUUUCAACGGGUAACGGGGAAUAAGGGUUCGAUUCCGGAGAGGGAGCCUGAGAAACGGCUACCACAUCCAAGGAAGGCAGCAGGCGCGCAAAUUACCCAAUCCUAAUUCAGGGAGGUAGUGACAAUAAAUAACGAUACAGGGCCCAUUCGGGUCUUGUAAUUGGAAUGAGUACAAUGUAAAUACCUUAACGAGGAACAAUUGGAGGGCAAGUCUGGUGCCAGCAGCCGCGGUAAUUCCAGCUCCAAUAGCGUAUAUNAAAGUUGUUGCAGUUAAAAAGCUCGUAGUUGAACUUUGGGCCCGGUUGGCCGGUCCGAUUUUUUCGUGUACUGGAUUUCCAACGGGGCCUUUCCUUCUGGCUAACCUUGAGUCCUUGUGGCUCUUGGCGAACCAGGACUUUUACUUUGAAAAAAUUAGAGUGUUCAAAGCAGGCGUACUGCUCGAAUAUAUUAGCAUGGAAUAAUAGAAUAGGACGUUUGGUUCUAUUUUGUUGGUUUCUAGGACCAUCGUAAUGAUUAAUAGGGACGGUCGGGGGCAUCAGUAUUCAAUUGUCAGAGGUGAAAUUCUU
rnacentral:rRNA from 1 species